rnacentral:rRNA from 1 species
AUUGAACGCUGGCGGCAGGCCUAACACAUGCAAGUCGAACGAGUGGCGGACGGGUGAGUAAUGUAUGGGAAACUGCCUGAUGGAGGGGGAUCACUACUGGAAACGGUAGCUAAUCCCGCAUACCAUCAGAUGUGCCCAGAUGGGCUUAGCUAGUUGGUGGGGUAACGGCUCACCAAGGCGACGAUCCCUAGCUGGUCUGAGAGGAGGACCAGCCACACUGGAACUGAGACACGGUCCAGACGCCUACGGGAGGCAGCAGUGGGGAAUAUUGCACAAUGGGCGCAAGCCUGAUGUAGCCAUGCCGCGUGUAUGAAGAAGGCCUUCGGGUUGUAAAGUACUUUCAGCGGGGAGGCGUUACCCGCAGAAGAAGCACCGGCUAACUCCGUGCCAGCCGCCGCGGUAAUUC